rnacentral:rRNA from 1 species
GUCGUACGCUUCUUUUUCACCGGAGCUUGCUCCACCGGAAAAAGAAGAGUGGCGAACGGGUGAGUAACACGUGGGUAACCUGCCCAUCAGAAGGGGAUAACACUUGGAAACAGGUGCUAAUACCGUAUAACAAUCGAAACCGCAUGGUUUUGAUUUGAAAGGCGCUUUCGGGUGUCGCUGAUGGAUGGACCCGCGGUGCAUUAGCUAGUUGGUGAGGUAACGGCUCACCAAGGCCACGAUGCAUAGCCGACCUGAGAGGGUGAUCGGCCACAUUGGGACUGAGACACGGCCCAAACUCCUACGGGAGGCAGCAGUAGGGAAUCUUCGGCAAUGGACGAAAGUCUGACCGAGCAACGCCGCGUGAGUGAAGAAGGUUUUCGGAUCGUAAAACUCUGUUGUUAGAGAAGAACAAGGAUGAGAGUAACUGUUCAUCCCUUGACGGUAUCUAACCAGAAAGCCACGGCUAACUACGUGCCAGCAGCCGCGGUAAUACGUAGGUGGCAAGCGUUGUCCGGAUUUAUUGGGCGUAAAGCGAGCGCAGGCGGUUUCUUAAGUCUGAUGUGAAAGCCCCCGGCUCAACCGGGGAGGGUCAUUGGAAACUGGGAGACUUGAGUGCAGAAGAGGAGAGUGGAAUUCCAUGUGUAGCGGUGAAAUGCGUAGAUAUAUGGAGGAACACCAGUGGCGAAGGCGGCUCUCUGGUCUGUAACUGACGCUGAGGCUCGAAAGCGUGGGGAGCAAACAGGAUUAGAUACCCUGGUAGUCCACGCCGUAAACGAUGAGUGCUAAGUGUUGGAGGGUUUCCGCCCUUCAGUGCUGCAGCUAACGCAUUAAGCACUCCGCCUGGGGAGUACGACCGCAAGGUUGAAACUCAAAGGAAUUGACGGGGGCCCGCACAAGCGGUGGAGCAUGUGGUUUAAUUCGAAGCAACGCGAAGAACCUUACCAGGUCUUGACAUCCUUUGACCACUCUAGAGAUAGAGCUUCCCCUUCGGGGGCAAAGUGACAGGUGGUGCAUGGUUGUCGUCAGCUCGUGUCGUGAGAUGUUGGGUUAAGUCCCGCAACGAGCGCAACCCUUAUUGUUAGUUGCCAUCAUUCAGUUGGGCACUCUAGCAAGACUGCCGGUGACAAACCGGAGGAAGGUGGGGAUGACGUCAAAUCAUCAUGCCCCUUAUGACCUGGGCUACACACGUGCUACAAUGGGAAGUACAACGAGUCGCGAAGUCGCGAGGCUAAGCUAAUCUCUUAAAGCUUCUCUCAGUUCGGAUUGUAGGCUGCAACUCGCCUACAUGAAGCCGGAAUCGCUAGUAAUCGCGGAUCAGCACGCCGCGGUGAAUACGUUCCCGGGCCUUGUACACACCGCCCGUCACACCACGAGAGUUUGUAACACCCGAAGUCGGUGAG